AAAUUACGUUUUGUCAGAUGCUUCUAAAAGAUAUGCCGCUAAAUUGGAACCGAAAUUCGUGAAGUGCAAGAUUGCAGAAGUCCUUUCACCUCUAGUGUACCGAUUAACGACAGAGAAUGGUGUGGAUCUUGGGAGAUACCAUACCAAGGAUCUGAAACCUGAUCAGACAAGAAACUCGGAUUAGACGCUGUGAGGAAGGUGAGGAGUGCAUGAAGAAGGACGAUAGAUCUCGUGAAUGGAGUGUGAACGGCACUAGUGUCGAGGUUGGCAGAUUUGACAGAUUUGUAGUAUUGGCAGAAUUUGAAAAUUUAGCCAUUUAUACCCAGAGUAGACAGAAAUAAUAGAUUGACAGGUUGUGACGUAGCUAUUAUACCGAAUUUAGAAAUAUGAAAAUUGACUAUGUGAUGGACUACAGUUUGGACAUUAGUCUGAAAUGUCGGACCAUCCAAUAAGGAGAAUAGUUGGAUGAGUGGUCCAAGUCCUAUAGGGAAACGCUAAAUAAAUUUAGUUAUUAUUUAUUAUUAAUUUUUUUGGGUAACUAACGGGGGUGUGUAACGUGAC